GAUGAACGCUGGCGGCGUGCCUAAUACAUGCAAGUCGAGCGAACGGACGAGAAGCUUGCUUCUCUGAUGUUAGCGGCGGACGGGUGAGUAACACGUGGAUAACCUACCUAUAAGACUGGGAUAACUUCGGGAAACCGGAGCUAAUACCGGAUAAUAUUUUGAACCGCAUGGUUCAAAAGUGAAAGACGGUCUUGCUGUCACUUAUAGAUGGAUCCGCGCUGCAUUAGCUAGUUGGUAAGGUAACGGCUUACCAAGGCAACGAUGCAUAGCCGACCUGAGAGGGUGAUCGGCCACACUGGAACUGAGACACGGUCCAGACUCCUACGGGAGGCAGCAGUAGGGAAUCUUCCGCAAUGGGCGAAAGCCUGACGGAGCAACGCCGCGUGAGUGAUGAAGGUCUUCGGAUCGUAAAACUCUGUUAUUAGGGAAGAACAUAUGUGUAAGUAACUGUGCACAUCUUGACGGUACCUAAUCAGAAAGCCACGGCUAACUACGUGCCAGCAGCCGCGGUAAUACGUAGGUGGCAAGCGUUAUCCGGAAUUAUUGGGCGUAAAGCGCGCGUAGGCGGUUUUUUAAGUCUGAUGUGAAAGCCCACGGCUCAACCGUGGAGGGUCAUUGGAAACUGGAAAACUUGAGUGCAGAAGAGGAAAGUGGAAUUCCAUGUGUAGCGGUGAAAUGCGCAGAGAUAUGGAGGAACACCAGUGGCGAAGGCGACUUUCUGGUCUGUAACUGACGCUGAUGUGCGAAAGCGUGGGGAUCAAACAGGAUUAGAUACCCUGGUAGUCCACGCCGUAAACGAUGAGUGCUAAGUGUUAGGGGGUUUCCGCCCCUUAGUGCUGCAGCUAACGCAUUAAGCACUCCGCCUGGGGAGUACGACCGCAAGGUUGAAACUCAAAGGAAUUGACGGGGACCCGCACAAGCGGUGGAGCAUGUGGUUUAAUUCGAAGCAACGCGAAGAACCUUACCAAAUCUUGACAUCCUUUGACAACUCUAGAGAUAGAGCCUUCCCCUUCGGGGGACAAAGUGACAGGUGGUGCAUGGUUGUCGUCAGCUCGUGUCGUGAGAUGUUGGGUUAAGUCCCGCAACGAGCGCAACCCUUAAGCUUAGUUGCCAUCAUUAAGUUGGGCACUCUAAGUUGACUGCCGGUGACAAACCGGAGGAAGGUGGGGAUGACGUCAAAUCAUCAUGCCCCUUAUGAUUUGGGCCACACACGUGCUACAAUGGACAAUACAAAGGGCAGCGAAACCGCGAGGUCAAGCAAAUCCCAUAAAGUUGUUCUCAGUUCGGAUUGUAGUCUGCAACUCGACUACAUGAAGCUGGAAUCGCUAGUAAUCGUAGAUCAGCAUGCUACGGUGAAUACGUUCCCGGGUCU
rnacentral:rRNA from 1 species